AGGAACAGACAAACCAAAAAGACACGGAGAACUGAAAGGAGCAGAGAGUCACGUCUGACAUAAACCCGAGGAGGAGCUCAGAGACGUCAUUAGAGGUGCUGAUGAAGAGUGUCCGGUCACACUGACCGUCUGGACGAUGAAGAGCACUCUCACCAUCUGCUGAUCUUUAGCUCACACACACAGCCAGGAGAUGAGUUCUGCUCUGGUUCAUGACAAACUCUUCAUCAAGUCAUUCUGGGAGCAGAAGAUCAACAAUCACACUCACAUGAUAGAAGCUGAAGAAGAGAGGAGGAAGAGGAGCGCUCUCAUAAAGCUGCGUGACGAGUGGCUCACAAGGAUGGG